AGAACGAACGCUGGCGGCAGGCUUAACACAUGCAAGUCGAGCGCCCAGCAAUGGGAGCGGCGGACGGGUGAAUAACGCGUGGGAAUAUGCCCUUUGGUACGGAACAACUCAGGGAAACUUGAGCUAAUACCGUAUGAGCCGGUAACGGGAAAGAUUUAUCGCCAAAGGAUUAGCCCGCGUCCGAUUAGCUAGUUGGUGAGGUAACGGCCCACCAAGGCACCGAUCGGUAGCUGGUCUGAGAGGACGACCAGCCACACUGGGACUGAGACACGGCCCAGACUCCUACGGGAGGCAGCAGUGGGGAAUCUUGGACAAUGGGGCAACCCUGAUCCAGCCAUGCCGCGUGAGUGAUGAAGGCCUUAGGGUUGUAAAACUCUUUCGACGGGACGAUAAUGACGGUACCCGUAGAAGAAGCUCCGGCUAACUUCGUGCCAGCAGCCGC
rnacentral:rRNA from 1 species